UUUAUCGUUAUUAUCGCUGGAAGACAAAUUUUUAUCGUGGGGAGCAUUUUUAACGGUAUAUCGCAAACGAUAAGAUAACGCCCAUCCGUAGCGACUAGCAUGUUGCUAGCAUGAUUAGCAAGUUACUAGCAUGUCGCUAGCAUGUUUCUAGCAUGAUUAGCAUGUUACUAGCAUGUUGCUAGCAUGAUUAGCAAGUGACUAGCAUGUCGCUAGCAUGUUUCUAGCAUGAUUAGCAUGUUACUAGCAUGUUGUUAGCAUGAUUAGCAAGUGACUAGCAUGUCGCUAGCAUGUUUCUAGCAUGAUUAGCAUGUUGCUAGCAUGAUUAGCAAGUUACUAGCAUGUUUCUAGCAUGAUUAGCAUGCCACUAGCAUGUUGCUAGCAUGAUUAGCAAGUGACUAGCAUGUCGCUAACAUGUUUCUAGCAUUUCUCAAGCCAACUUAAUAAGAAGUUUAAAUAGCAUUUCAGUAAGUUGGCUUUCUCAAGCCAACUUAAUAAGUAUGCAAGAUAACAAUAGUGAUGCCUUGCCUUUGGCAAGCACCACUAACUAGAAUGUACAUUUCCUGAAGAAAAUGUGAGUGGUGCUUGCAGUGGCAAAACUCGGCGCUGGGCAGAUCCUACAGUGUUCUGCGCGAUUGUAGAGAGCCAACUCCCAUGUCUGUAUGAUGUUGUGGAGCUGAGAUAUGGCUUCUUUAUGUUGCUAUACGGUCACUAGGGUGCUCUAUAUGGUUGCUAGGGUGUAGCUGCACAGGCGCCAUGGUAAUUCUUACAGACUGGUUUUUCAGCCGAAACAAAAUAAGCCACCCCCAUGUCUAUACUACUUUCUGGUGCUGAGAAAUUGCUUUUCAUGUGUUUGUUCGGUUGCUAAGGUACUCUAAAUGGUUGCUAUGGUGUGGCUAUACGGUUUAUGGGAUGAUAUUUAAAGACUAUUUGACAGUCUGAAUCAACAGAGCCCAACCCCAUGUUUCUAUAAUAUUUUGGUGCUGAAAAAUUGUUUAUUAAUGUCAUUUUACGGUUGCUAGGGUGCUGUAAGUGGUUGCUAGGGCAUAGGUAUGAAGUUGUCAUGUCUGUACUUAUUGGCUGCUUGAUAGGCCGAGUCAAAAGAGCCCUCCCCCAAGUCUCUGUGACCUCCUGAUCCAAAGAUAUAAUCUCACUCAUUUUGUGCCAAUGUUAAGUCUAUGGGACUUUUUCGCCCAAAUUUGUUCAUCCACCAGACGAACAUCGUACACUCAAUUACUUAUAAAAGAUGUAGCACACCUCUAUAACUGGGAGGUUAGUAAGCGUGUUGCUAAGCGGUUGGUAGUUGUCACACAUCAUUACUAUGUAGUUUUAUAGAGUUAUUCGUAUGUUCUUAGCCUGAUUUAACACUUAGCUAACUACUAUUAGCAUGUAGCUAUUCACUGCUAGUAUGUGUAGCAUUCAUGAGGAAAGUCCUGUUUGCGAUCACGAGUCAAAAGAGCAAAACCUGCAUGUUAAUAUGACACUUUUAUCCAAAGAUAUCCUUUUAGAUCUGCUUUCAGUGGAGGUCUAUGGGGUGGUUGCUAGGGUGCUGUAAGUGGUUGCUAGGGUGUGGCUAUGAAGGUCAUAGGUCAUUACUUAUUGGUUACUUAAAAGAAGAGUCAAAUGAGUGUGUGUGAGUGACAGAGAGAGAGAUAGAGAGAAGGGGCUCUAAGGGCAUGCGUGUGUGUGUGUGUGUGUGUGUGAGAAAGUGACAGUUGAGAUUCAAAUUCACGAACAUUCCGCCAUUGUAAGUCAAUGGGACUUUUUUGACCGCUUUUCCGUCCGCUGUGUGAACAUCGUAGGUCCGAUCGCUUAGAAAAGAUAUAGCACACCUCUCCUCAAUAAGCCGCACGAUUUGACGCCUCAUUCAUGGGUCUGUGACAAACGGUGCAGGAGGAGUAGCGAACCGAAGUUUUGUCCAGAAGAAGAAGAAUAAUAAGUAUGCAAGAGAACAAUAGUGAUGCCUUGCCUUUGGCAAGCACCACUAACUAGAAUGUACAUUUCCUGAAGAAAAUGUGAGUGGUGCUUGCAGUGGCAAAACUCGGCACUAGGCCAUCAGUAGAGCCUUCAGCAUGAUUGUAGAGAGCCAACUCCCAUGUCUGUAUGAUGUUGUGGAGCUGAGAUAUGGCUUCUUUAUGUUGCUAUACGGUUGCUAGGGUGCUCUAUAUGGUUGGUAGGUUGUAGCCAUGGUGAUACUUACAGACUGGUUUUUCAGCCCAAACAAAGGAGGCCACCCCAUAUCUAUACCACUUUCUGGUGCUGAGAAAUUGCUUAUUCAUGUGUUUGUUCAGUUGCUAAGGUACUCUAAAUGGUUGCUAUGGUGUGACUAUACAGUUUAUGGGAUGGUAUUUAAAGACUAUUUGACAGUCUGAAUCAACAGAGCCCAACCCCCUGUUUCUACAAUGUUUUGGUGCUAAAAAUUGUUUGUUAAUGUCCUUUUAUGGUUGCUAGGGUGCUGUAAGUGGUUGCUAGGGCAUAGCUAUGAAGUUGUCAUGUCAGUACUUAUUGGCUGCUUGAUAGGCUGAGUCAAAUGAGCCCUCCCACAAGUCUCUGUGACCUCCUGAUCCAAAGAUAUAAUCUCACUAAUUUUAUGCCAAUGUUAAGUCUAUGGGACUUUUUCGCCCAAAUUUUUUUGUCCACCAGAUGAACAUCGUACACUCAAUUACUUAUAAAAGAUAUAGCACACCUCUAUAACUGGGUGGUUACUAUCGUGUUGCUAAGUGGUUGGUAGUUGUCACACAUCAUUACUAUGUAGAUUUAUAGUUAUUCGUAAGUUCUUAGCCUGAUUUAACACUUAGCUAAUCACUAUUAGCAUGUAGCUAUUCACUGCUAGUAUGUGUAGCAUUCAUGAGGGAAGUCCUGUUUGCGAUCACGAGUCAAAAGAGCAAAACCUGCAUGUUUAUAUGACACUUUUAUCCAAAGAUAUCCCUUUUGAUCUGUUUUCAAUGGAGGUUUAUGGGGUGGUUGCUAGGGUGCUGUAAGUGGUUGCUAGGGUGUCGCUAUGAAGGUCAUAGGUCAUUACUUAUUGGUUACUUAAAAGAGGAGUCAAAUGAGUGUGUGUGAGUUAUAGAGAGAGAGAGAGAGAGAGAGAGAGAAGGGCUUCUUAAGGGCCUGCUUGUGUGUGUGUGUGUGUGUGUGUGUGUGAGAAAGUAACAGUUGAGAUUCAAAUUCACGAACAUUCCACCAAUGUAAGUCAAUGGGACUUUUUUGCCCGCUUUUUCGUCCGCUGUGCGAACAUCGUAGGUCCAAUCACUUAGAAAAGAUAUAGCCCACAUGUCCUUAAUGAGCCGGUCGAUAUGACACCUCUUUCAUGGGUCUGUGACAAACGAUGCAGGAGGAGUAGCGAACCGAAGUUUUGUCCAGAAGAAGAAGAAGAAGAAGAAGCAGAAUAAGUUGUUAUUAAGUUGUCUUUCUCAAGCCAACUUAAUAAUAAGUUUAAGACGGAUUUCAGUAAGUUGGCUUUCUCAAGCCAACUUAAUAAGAAGUUUAAACAGCAUUUCAGUAAGUUGGCUUUCUCAAGCCAACUUAAUAAUAAGCUUAAGUAGCAGAUCAGUAGGUUGGCUCUCUCAAGCCAACCUAAUAAGCUAGGUGUUUAUAAACUUGUUCAAGCUUGACGCCUUUAUUUUCUAAUAUAUAUUUCUGAAAUUCCCACAAGGAUUUCAACAUCAUAUCUGAAAUGAGAAAAAACAACAACAACAAAAAAAAAACACUUUUAUUUGUGUUUAAAUUCAAACAACACAGACUAAACCUGAUUGGUUCCAGAGCCAUUGAACGGCUCUGAUUGGUUCUUAUGAUAAUGAGCUCGCGGCAGAGAGGUAGUAAAUCAAAUAUGAUGUGCCUGCAAAUGUCUCUUGAAUGUGAAUAUAAGUCUAAAUUUAAACAGUAUUAUAUUAUAUAGAGUGAUCGUGUCUCUUUAGGGCGCUUGGAGGAAACCACACAAUUUUAUGGAUUACUUUGGAAUGUUUUUUGCGAUUAAAUUUUUGAAACGUGAACAUCUUUGAUGAAUCUUUUCAUCGGAGGGACAUCUCUCAGAUUUCAUUAAAAUAUCUCCGCUUUUCUUUCAAAGAUGAACGAAAGUCUUAGAUGGUUUGGAGCAUCUUAAAGGUGAGUGAUGGCAGAAUUCAAAUUGUUUUGGGGGAACUAUGAAAUUAAUUAGAAAAUAUGUAAGGGAUAAUCAACGGCUAGCUGUGCAUUAAACGAUUUGAAUGCACGACGUGGAGGCGAAGAACCACCCGACACGCAGCGGAGUGCAUUCAAAUCGUUUAAUGCACAGCUAGCCGUUGAUUAUCCCGUUUAUGCCAUGGUCUUUUCCCAGCAUUCACAUAUUAAAGAUGUUAAUAAUAUUCGUGCUGCAAUAUUUGACCGGAACGAUAAAAAUGACGGUUAUUUUCGUCUGUAUUACUAACUGUAACUGUAUGUUACUACCAAUGUUUAUAGGAAGCGCAUUAAUAUAGAACGUGAAUAAACUGACCUGGAACUACCUGUGCAGUUCAACGAAUUUAAUCAACACCUGCCAGCCAAUCAGAAUCCAGUAUUCAGAUAGACCAUGGCAUAAAGCGGUAUGUUCUUAUUUUUACCAGCUUCUGCGAGCGUGUAUGGCGUCUGGCUUCAGUACCUCACUGUGACUUCAGAUAAGAACAAAGAUUAAAUUGUAAGAAGGGUUGCUUAUAAAAGCAUACAGUACAUCUGAAACUGCUGAGACUGGUAAGGUUUUUGACUAUAUUUCCGAUCAGGUACAUUGUUCUGUCAUUCCUAAAUAGAAAACAAAUCAUCAAUCACCAUUUGCCUUUUUUUGUGCGUGUGAGAAAUAUUAACAUUUGUUGUUUUUCAGAUCAGCUGCUAUAGAAGAUAAAAUGAAAUCUGAGUGCAGAGACAAGCAAAGGAAUACUGCAAGGCACUACUGACUAGGCUGUGCCCAGGUCUCCAGAACCUGUGACGACGCUCAGCUCCAUUUGCCCUUAGUCUGCGGCUUCAGAUCCACCAGCUCUGUCUCCAUCAGUCGGCCCCCAGAUGUCGGCAGCCACACCAUCUACAUCUUGGCUCCUCGCUCCCUCGACUCCGCCGUGUGUUGUCAGCACUGGGAUGCUCUGGGUCUGUGCCAUGUGCCAAACACCAUCUAAGCCGCCAGGACAUCAUCGUCAUCCUCCCAUCACCAUCCCUUCACCACAUCCUGCCAUCAUCCCACACCUUUGCCUCUCACCAGCCCUACGCCAUCUCCUCGUCCACCUCCAAAACCCCCUCCAUCCCUCCCUAUUCUGUUGCUUGAACUUUAUCAUCUUCAGUCUUUGCACACACACCUAUUCACCUAUGCACUUUGUUUUUCAGUAAAAAAUAAAAUUUUCUUCAGAAAAUUGCAUUGUAUUUUUAUUUAUUCAUUGAUGUAAAAUUCUUUACUUUUCAGUAAUACAGGUAUAACUGAAAUGUUCUACAAAUGGAUAAGAUGGCUCUUCCAUAGCAUUUCAGUCUUGUUUCAUUUAUUAUAUUUUUUGUAUAAUGUUUUAAAAUGUACUUGAGUAUGUUUGUAGUAAUACAAAUAUACUAUAAACAUACUUGUAUUUCAAGUGCAUUUUUAAUACAUUUAAUAGUAUGUUUUUUUGUUUUUCACCAAAGUAUAUAUGCUGCUGUACUUUUUUAAUGUACUUUAU